rnacentral:tRNA from 1 species
GCCCCGGUAGCUUAAACAAAGCAUUGGUCUUGUAAACCAAAGAAUGUGGACUAACACCCACUCAGGGCU